ACAGUGGAGUACUAAUCUAAAAAUGAUCUGUCCCGUGCAGAGGGUACUAUUUUUUUUUAUGCCGAAGUCAAGUUAAACACAUGUGUCAAGGCAGGUGAACGUGCAGCUGUCAACUUUAAUUAAAAGACCCUGAUGGCAUUAAAAACUCGACCGGAGACUUGUGCUGCCCCUAAUUUUACGGACAGGGCAACCUAGUGCCAAUCGGGAGGUUGUCAGAAGCACCGGGUUGAGGUAGAACUACUUCGAAAUACUGAAUCCCAAAUAACUGUCGUGUAUCAUUUGUGAAUUAUAUAUUAAAAUGAUAUGUUUUAUUAACACAUUGUAAUUAUUAUAGACACAUUACAGCUCCAGAUAACACUAUUUUCUUUGAAAACGGGUUUUAAUACCCGAGGGGCCUUGUUGAAGAAACGCAGCCGGGGGCUGGAGUAAGCGGGGUUUCAGGUCGGAGUCGUGGUAUGGCGGACGAGAGGCAUUAUGCUGACGAAGGGCUCGGUCUUCUGGAAGGGGAGUUUACGGGGGGCCAUAAUGUUGAAGACCCUGAGUUGGAGGCCAUCAAAGCUAGGGUUCGUGAAAUGGAGGAAGAAGCAGAGAAACUGAAAGAAGUACAAUAUGAAACUGAGAAACAUCUGAUAAUGAGCCCACAGGCAAGUGGUGUGUUCUACCCAAUGACUACUGAAGAGAAGGUGGAUGCUGAUAACAGAUCGGUCUAUGUGGGCAAUGUGGAUUAUGGAUCGACUGCAGAUGAGCUGGAAAUUCACUUCAACGGCUGUGGUCCAGUCAAUCGUGUGACCAUUCUAUGUGACAAGUUCUCAGGACAUCCUAAGGGGUUUGCAUACAUUGAGUUUUCAGACCGUGACUCUGUGAAGACAGCCAUGGCUCUGGAUGAGACAUUGUUUAGGGGUAGAAUCAUAAAGGUGCUCCCAAAAAGGACCAACAUGCCUGGGAUCAGCUCGACGGACCGGGGGAGUCAAAGGGGCGGGCGCCUGAGGGGGCGGGGCUUCCGCUCCUCCAGAUACAACAGCAGCAGCUACCAGCCGAGACAGCGGGGCCGCUCCUUCAGGUCAGCAUUGCCACAAUCGGGGGCUCGGGUGUCCACAUGAGGAAAAAGGACACAGGUAAAUCCUGCAGGUCCUGACCAACUAAGUCUUUCAAAAGGGGAGGUGGAAGAAUCCCGACUUGGUAUUCUCCUUACUAAAUAAAUUAAAAUGGAAAAUUAAAAUGAAAAUAAAGAGAAAUGUAGAUGUGAAGAUCACAUUGCUGUGAAGUUAAUUUAUUUUACUGUGUUGUACAUUUUCAAAACUACUGUAUGUGAGGUGUUAAUCUUUUGACAUGUUGUCUGCAGGAGCAAGUCUACCGCAAUUGAACCUGUUUAGCAGAAUGGGAAUCGGGGCUGCUUUCUUUUGCAGCAUAGCAUGCUUUUUCUGUAGAAACUGUACAGUCUUAUGCCAAGUCAAAGACCGCAUACGAUAUAUAUUUCUUUUUUUGGAGGGGUUCAAACUGCUACCAGAGUAGCCAAUGGUAGUUUAAAUAUGCUUCUGUACUGUAAUGAAUUGUGGUUGUACGAGCUAUGUUUGUCGUUGUAUAUAUUACAUAUUAAAGACUUUGUUUUAUUACAAAAAUUUUAACUUUCUGUAAUAAAAUAUACAUACUGAUGACGGGCUA